CGCUUGGAAAUGUUGGACGAGAUGAUUCGUGGGCCCUUCCGAAUGGCAAUGGUGAGCCCGGACCCUGGGCAGCCUCCUCCCUCUGCUGUUCGCGUGAUGGUGAGGCCUCUGGGUCCUGCUGGUUCCAGUGCCUCACUUUGGGAUUAGCGGUGGCUCGCUUCUCUUUCUGCCACUCCGUCCAGAAGAUUCCGCCAGCACAGCUCAGGACUCUGUGAUGCGACAAACAGGACAGCCUGACCUCUCCGGUUGCUACAUUCAAGUCAGGGGAGGGGGUGUCCCCUGAAGGAGGACCAGCUGCACCGUGCCUGCUCCUCCCCAGCCAGCACUGGUCACCGGUCACCCUGCAGCACCCAGCCUGUUUGUCACCAGUUUACACAUCCAAACACGCUGGGAAGUUGCAGUCCAGAGCCCUGGGAUGGGGAAGUGGACACAGCCAGGCGGCUGCCAGGGAGAGAUGCAGCCCGCACAAGA